rnacentral:tRNA from 1 species
GGGCCGAUAGUGUCAACGCCAGCACACAUCCCCUGCAAGGAUGAGGCCCGGGUUGAAAUCCCGGUCGGUCCACCA